GACGAACGCUGGCGGCGUGCUUAACACAUGCAAGUCGAACGGAAAGGCCCUGCUUUUGUGGGGUGCUCGAGUGGCGAACGGGUGAGUAACACGUGAGUAACCUGCCCUUGACUUUGAGAUAACUUCAGGAAACUGGGGCUAAUACCGGAUAGGAGCUCCUGCUGCAUGGUGGGGGUUGGAAAGUUUCGGCGGUUGGGGAUGGACUCGCGGCUUAUCAGCUUGUUGGUGGGGUAGUGGCUUACCAAGGCUUUGACGGGUAGCCGGCCUGAGAGGGUGACCGGCCACAUUGGGACUGAGAUACGGCCCAGACUCCUACGGGAGGCAGCAGUGGGGAAUAUUGCACAAUGGGCGGAAGCCUGAUGCAGCAACGCCGCGUGCGGGAUGACGGCCUUCGGGUGGUAAACCGCUUUCGCCUGUGACGAAGCGUGAGUGACGGUAAUGGGGAAAGAAGCACCGGCGAACUACGU
rnacentral:rRNA from 1 species